rnacentral:rRNA from 1 species
AGCAGCCGCCGCGGUAAUACGGAGGGGGCUAGCGUUGUUCGGAAUUACUGGGCGUAAAGCGCACGUAGACGGCCUUACAAGUCAGAGGUGAAAGCCUGGAGCUCAACUCCAGAAUUGCCUUUGAGACUGUAUCGCUUGAACACGGGAGAGGUGAGUGGAAUUCCGAGUGUAGAGGUGAAAUUCGUAGAUAUUCGGAAGAACACCAGUGGCGAAGGCGGCUCACUGGACCGUUGUUGACGCUGAGGUGCGAAAGCGUGGGGAGCAAACAGGAUUAGAUACCCCUGUAGUCCCUGUCUCUUAUAC